UACGUAGGGGGCAAGCGUUAUCCGGAUUUACUGGGUGUAAAGGGAGCGUAGGUGGUUCGGUAAGUCAGAUGUGAAAGCCCGGGGCUCAACCCCGGGACUGCAUUUGAAACUAUCGUACUAGAGUGCAGGAGAGGUAAGUGGAAUUCCUAGUGUAGCGGUGAAAUGCGUAGAUAUGAGGAGGAACACCAGUGGCGAAGGCCGCUUGCUGGAUUGUAACUGACACUGAGGCUCGAAAGCGUGGGGAGCAAACAGG
rnacentral:rRNA from 1 species